GGCAGCAGUAGGGAAUCUUCCACAAUGGACGAAAGUCUGAUGGAGCAACGCCGCGUGAAUGAAGAAGGCCUUCGGGUCGUAAAAUUCUGUUGUCAGAGAAGAACGUGCGUGAGAGUAACUGUUCACGUAUUGACGGUAUCUGACCAGAAAGCCACGGCUAACUACGUGCCAGCAGCCGCGGUAAUACGUAGGUGGCAAGCGUUGUCCGGAUUUAUUGGGCGUAAAGGGAACGCAGGCGGUCUUUUAAAUCUGAUGUGAAAGCCUUCGGCUUAACCGAAGUAGUGCAUUGGAAACUGGAAGACUUGAGUGCAGAAGAGGAGAGUGGAACUCCAUGUGUAGCGGUGAAAUGCGUAGAUAUAUGGAAGAACACCAGUGGCGAAAGCGGCUCUCUGGUCUGUAACUGACGCUGAGGUUCGAAAGCGUGGGUAGCAAACAGGAUUAGAUACCCUGGUAGUCCACGCCGUAAACGAUGAGUGCUAAGUGUUGGAGGGUUUCCGCCCUUCAGUGCUGCAGCUAACGCAUUAAGCACUCCGCCUGGGGAGUACGGUCGCAAGACUGAAACUCAAAGGAAUUGACGGGGGCCCGCACAAGCGGUGGAGCAUGUGGUUUAAUUCGAAGCAACGCGAAGAACCUUACCAGGUCUUGACAUCUUCUGACAAUUCCAGAGAUGGAACGUUCCCUUCGGGGACAGAAUGACAGGUGGUGCAUGGUUGUCGUCAGCUCGUGUCGUGAGAUGUUGGGUUAAGUCCCGCAACGAGCGCAACCCUUAUUGUCAGUUGCCAUCAUUAAGUUGGGCACUCUGGCGAGACUGCCGGUGACAAACCGGAGGAAGGUGGGGAUGACGUCAAAUCAUCAUGCCCCUUAUGACCUGGGCUACACACGUGCUACAAUGGACGGUACAACGAGUCGCUAACUCGCGAGGGCAAGCUAAUCUCUUAAAGCCGUUCUCAGUUCGGAUUGCAGGCUGCAACUCGCCUGCAUGAAGUCGGAAUCGCUAGUAAUCGCGAAUCAGCAUGUCGCGGUGAAUACGUUCCCGGGCCUUGUACACACCGCCCGUCACACCAUGAGAGUUUGUAACACCCAAAGUCGGUGGGGUAACCAUUUGGAGCCAGCCGCCUAAGGUGGGACAGAUGAUUGGGGUGAAGUCGUAACAAGGUAGCCGUAGGA
rnacentral:rRNA from 2 species